UCAUAAUUACUUUUCAUUUCAAGUAUAUAAUUUUUCUGUUCAUUCACCUAGUUUGAGGGAAAUGUUGAGGACAUAAGUGUAUAAUGACCUAGCAAAUUAAAUAUAGCAAUUAAAAAAAAAGAAAGAAAGAAACUUGAACACAGGAGAAAAAAAACAUGUGCAAAAAUAUUUACUCUGUCUUUGGACAAAAGACCUAUGAUUUUUUUCAUAUUUCUUUUACAGUCCUUGUCCUGAUUUGUAAACAUGCUUUAUGGUUAGAAGAGGAGACACUAACUUUGAAAUUUCAAGAGGAAAUGUGCAGUCACGUCUACAAUGAUUCUGCUUCUCUGUCCAUGUAGGGGAUACUGAGAGUAGCGAUGGUCACUUUAUGAUUCUUCUCUGACCACAUACACACAGAAUAAGAGAUGAAGAAUCAAAUAUCAUCAUAUGCCUACCAACAAAUCCUGACGAAAACAUUUCCAGGCUUUUGAGUUUUAACGGGCACGUUUAAAGUGUACCUUGUAGCAUUUCAUAGGUCAUUAUUAAAUGAUGAUCAGUAAUGAUUGGGGGAAGAAACCAAAUUUAAGUAUGACUUACGUUUAAAUUAUUAGCAUCAACAUGUAUUUCUAAUGUUUGUCAUUUUAACUCAUUAUUAUUCAAGCCACUCAUGACUGGGAAAUUAUCCAAACUGUACUGAAAUGUGAAGAAUUUUAACCCUUACAGAACAAGAAAAGGCAUGUAGCCAUAGGUAGUCAGAGAACAACUGUAGAGUGAAAACAGAAGUGUCGAGAGCUAGUGACAGAGGAAGGACAGGGAUGGAGCUCUUCCCCAGGAACACCCCCAGACUGUGGCAAGCAUCGGCAGGCGAGAGCCUUCCAGGUGUAAUUAUGUUCGAAUGUUCACAUCUGUACUCAAGGACAGCAGACAGCACACUGCUAUCAGUAAUGCAUGCACUUGCAAACUCACUUUGGUUGGCGAACAUUCCAUGUCCAAAGAAUGCCUUUUCCCUAGGUAAAUUUUAAUAUAUUAUGAGAAGAUUAUUGAUUUAUAUGUCUCAUUUGGCUGACAAAAAAGAAAAAAAAAUCAAAGAAACCAAAAAAUCAAAAAACAAAAACCUUUUUUUGUCAUGCCAUUCCAGGAGAAAAGUUACCCUAACUGCAGGAAGUUUGGAAUUCAUCAUGCUGGAAUAGACAAGCCAUUAUGUGUAUUACAGUUUAUUAUUUUCAACCUCAUUGAUUUAAGGACUUGAGAUUGUUCAAAUCCAACUGGCCCACUGCUUUCCUUGGAGCUGUCAGGAAAGGAAAUGUUUACUAUGCAAAUUAGUAUUGUAAAUGAAACUCUUCUGAGAAAAGUAAUUUGAACAUUUCAGGCGCCAAAAUAAAACUGAUAAGUAUGUAGCAGGAAAAGCAGACAGAACUUGGAAUGAAUGAUCAAAAUCAAUACUGCUGACACCAGUGAUGUGGGGAUAAUGGACACAGACAGAGCCUGCCUUACCAGCUACACAGUAGAACAUCCCUAGGGCUGAAGGAGACAGCAGCGACUCAGAGGACAACGGAAGCAAUCCAGAAAUAGAGACGAUUACAGAAAUUCACAACUAGUCAUAACUUGUAGAACAACUGACGGUGGAUUCCCAGGCCUGGCUGGUUGAAGCACAACUACGUAACAGAGCUAAGACUAAUCCAGCAGCAUGACAGCCUCUCCUCUGAACAAUGCAGGGCUUCUAAUAUCUUAGCUCCGAGCACCUUUUACUGCAAGCUAUCUUUGUCUAGCUUGGGAUUACAUUUAAAAACACUUUCCAUAUUGGUCAUCGGAAAUGGUUUUGUUUUAUGAGUCAUUUGUUGAGGUUUGAACACAGUCGAACACCCUUUUGGAAUGUAAAUCUUUCUGACUCUCACUGAGUUUCUCUGAAUCCAGUUCCCUUCUUCCCACCAUACAUCUUUUAGAUGUGCAUCCAUGAGAAUUUUUUUUUGUCAACGCUCUUAGAUUUUGCUCACAAUCACUGCUGUUCUUGGUAGCGGAGGUGAGCAGACAUGUUUCUAUGCGUGGCCCUUCUUCACACUUGAAGGAUGGUUUAUUUGACAUCUGGCUUCGUUAGUUGCUAUGGAAACAUCAGCUCCAGGUCCAAUCAAUGUCUACUUUCUUCACCCGUUUUAAAGACAUUUUAUUUAUUCACUUUUCAUUUUUGUUUUGUUUUUUAUUAAACCAAUUUUAUUGAGGUCAAAUGUGCAUAUAGCAACAUGUCCUCAUGCAAAGUAUGUAUGUUGACAAGCUUCGAAAAUUCAUAAGUCCAUGAAGCUAUCACCACAACUGUAGUCUAUAAUCUGCUCAUAAUCCAGAUGUUUAUCUAUUGUUCUUUCUAACGCAUCUCACACUCCAAACCUCAUUUCUCCCUCUACAAACCUGAACACUUUCCUAGACUUUUCCAUAAGCUUAUGUAAUUGUUAAAUGUGUCUUUAAGUUCUUUUACUGGGCACAGAAUAUAUUUGAGAGUCAUUCUUGUUAUUGCAUAUACCAAAGUACAUUUUCUUGUAAAGUUUCUAAUUUUAUCUUUUAUAUUUCUGAGCAUUUGAUGUAACAGAAUAAUUUCUCUCUGUGUCUGUCUCUUUCUGUGUCUCUGUCAUCUUCGUCUCCACUAUUUGCCGCCUCUUAUCUAGCAUCAUUGUAGAGAAAA
rnacentral:sRNA from 1 species